GAGUUUGAUCUUGGCUCAGGAUGAACGCUGGCGGCGUGCCUAAUACAUGCAAGUCGAACGAACAGAUAAGGAGCUUGCUCCUUUGACGUUAGCGGCGGACGGGUGAGUAACACGUGGGUAACCUACCUAUAAGACUGGAAUAACUCCGGGAAACCGGGGCUAAUGCCGGAUAACAUGUUGAACCGCAUGGUUCUACAGUGAAAGACGGUCUUGCUGUCACUUAUAGAUGGACCCGCGCCGUAUUAGCUAGUUGGUGGGGUAACGGCCUACCAAGGCGACGAUACGUAGCCGACCUGAGAGGGUGAUCGGCCACACUGGAACUGAGACACGGUCCAGACUCCUACGGGAGGCAGCAGUAGGGAAUCUUCCGCAAUGGGCGAAAGCCUGACGGAGCAACGCCGCGUGAGUGAUGAAGGUCUUCGGAUCGUAAAGCUCUGUUGUUAGGGAAGAACAAAUGUGUAAGUAACUGUGCAUAUCUUGACGGUACUAACCAGAAAGCCACGGCUAACUACGU
rnacentral:rRNA from 1 species